GGGGGUAUAGCUCAGUUGGGAGAGCACCGUCCUUGCACGGCGGGUGUCAGCAGUUCGAACCUGCUUACCUCCA
rnacentral:tRNA from 1 species